rnacentral:rRNA from 1 species
AUUGAACGCUGGCGGCAGGCUUAACACAUGCAAGUAGAGCGAGCGGCGGACGGGUGAGUAAUGUCUGGGAAACUGCCUGAUGGCGGGGGAUAACUACUGGAAACGGUAGCUAAUAACGCAUACCAUCAGAUGUGCCCAGAUGGGAUUGGCUUGUAGGGGGGGUAAUGGCUCACCUAGUCGACGAUCCCUAGCUGGUCUGAGAGGAUGAACAGCCAAAGUUGAACGGAGACACGUUCAAGACGCCUAUGGGAGGCAGCAGUGGGGAAUAUGGCACAAUGGGCGAAAGCCUGAUGCAGCCAUGCCGCGUGUUUGAAGAAGUCCUUAGGGUUGUAAAGCACUUUCAGCGAGGAGGCGUUACUCGCAGAAGAAGCACCGGCUAACUCCGUGACAGCAGCCGCGGUAAUUC